rnacentral:rRNA from 1 species
CCUACGGGAGGCAGCAGUGGGGAAUAUUGCGCAAUGGGCGAAAGCCUGACGCAGCGACGCCGCGUGAGGGAUGAAGGUCUUCGGAUCGUAAACCUCUGUCAGCAGGGAAGAACGGUCACUGUGCUAAUCAGCCGUGAAUUGACGGUACCUGCAAAGGAAGCACCGGCUAACUCCGUGCCAGCAGCCGCGGUAAUACGGCGGGUGCGAGCGUUAAUCGGAAUUACUGGGCGUAAAGCGCUCGUAGGCGGUAUGUCAAGGCAAGGGUGAAAUCCCCGCGCUCAACGUGGGAAUGGCCUUUGAACCUGGCAAACUGGAGUGUGUGAGAGGAGAGUGGAAUUCCAGGGGUAGGAGUGAAGUCCGUAGAUAUCUGGAGGAACAUCAGUGGCGAAGGCGACUAUCUGGCACAUAACUGACGCUGAGGAGCGAAAGCGUGGGUAGCAAACAGGAUUAGAUACCCCAGUAGUC